rnacentral:rRNA from 1 species
GGCCUUGACAUACUAAGAACUUUCCAGAGAUGGAUUGGUGCCUUCGGGAACUUAGAUACAGGUGCUGCAUGGCUGUCGUCAGCUCGUGUCGUGAGAUGUUGGGUUAAGUCCCGCAACGAGCGCAACCCUUUUCCUUAUUUGCCAGCGGGUAAUGCCGGGAACUUUAAGGAUACUGCCAGUGACAAACUGGAGGAAGGCGGGGACGACGUCAAGUCAUCAUGGCCCUUACGGCCAGGGCUACACACGUGCUACAAUGGUCGGUACAAAGGGUUGCUACCUCGCGAGAGGAUGCUAAUCUCAAAAAGCUGAUCGUAGUCCGGAUCGCAGUCUGCAACUCGACUGCGUGAAGUCGGAAUCGCUAGUAAUCGCGGAUCAGAAUGCCGCGGUGAAUACGUUCCCGGGCCUUGUACACACCGCCCGUCACACCAUGGGAGUUUGUUGCACCAGAAGUAGGUAGUCUAACCGCAAGGAGGACGCUUACCACGGUGUGGCCGAUGACUGGGGUGAAGUCGUAACAAGGUAGGCGUAGAUGA